rnacentral:rRNA from 1 species
UACGAAGGGGGCUAGCGUUGUUCGGAUUUACUGGGCGUAAAGCGCACGUAGGCGGGUCGUUAAGUCAGGGGUGAAAUCCCGGAGCUCAACUCCAGAACUGCCUUUGAUACUGGGGAUCUCGAGUCCGGGAGAGGUGAGUGGAACUGCGAGUGUAGAGGUGAAAUUCGUAGAUAUUCGCAAGAACACCAGUGGCGAAGGCGGCUCACUGGCCCGGUACUGACGCUGAGGUGCAAAAGCGUGGGGAGCAAACAGG